AUGCAUGUACUCUGCUGCAGUGCUGCCCCUGGGACACUGCACACUGCACUUCACUGCAGUCCACUGUGUUAUCCAAGGCUGUGCUGUGUGGUGCACUGCACACACUGCACUGGUGCUCGACCACACUGCACACACCGCACACACUGCACUAGUGCUAGAACACACUGCACACACUGCAUACACUGCACUGGUGCUAGGCCACACUGCACAUGCUGCAGUAGUGCUAGAACGCACUGCACACGCUGCACUAGUGUUAGAACACACUGCACACACUGCACUAGUGUUAGAACACACUGCACACACUGCACUGGUGCUAGACCACACUGCACACACCGCACUGGUACUAGAUCAUACUGCACACACACACACACAGUGCUAGACCACACUGCACACACUGCACUGGUGCUAGACCACGCUGCACACACUGCACACACUACACUAGUGCUAGACCACACUGCACAGGCUGCACUAGUGUUAGAACACACUGCACACACUGCACUAGUGUUAGAACACACUGCACACACUGCACUGGUGCUAGACCACACUGCACACACCGCACUGGUACUAGAUCAUACUGCACACACACACACAGUGCUAGACCACACUGCACACACUGCACUGGUGCUAGACCACGCUGCACACACUGCACACACUACACUAGUGCUAGACCACACUGCACAGGCUGCACUAGUGUUAGAACACACUGCACACACUGCACUAGUGUUAGAACACACUGCACACACUGCACUGGUGCUAGACCACACUGCACACACUGCACUAGUGUUAGAACACACUGCACACACUGCACUAGUGUUAGAACACACUGCACACACUGCACUGGUGUUAGAACACACUGCACACACUGCACUGGUGCUAGACCACACUGCGCACACUGCACUGGUGCUAGACCACACUGCACACACUGCACUGGUGCUAGACCACACUGCACACACUGCACUAGUGUUAGAACACACUGCACACACUGCACUGGUACUAGAUCAUACUGCACACACACACACACACAGUGCUAGACCACACUGCACACACUGCACUGGUGCUAGACCACACUGCACACACUGCAGUAGUGCUAGGACACACUGCACAUGCUGCCCUGCUGCCGCACCACACUGCAUUGCCGCGCUCUGCUGCACUGUGGUGUCCUGCCCUGCACAGUGCUGUGCCCUGCAGCUGUGUGGUGUUACAGUAGAGAGUGCAGUGUGCAGAGUGCAGUGUAGAGUCCAGGACACUGCGCAGCACAGGGCCGCAUAG
rnacentral:lncRNA from 1 species